rnacentral:rRNA from 1 species
AAUACGUAGGGUGCAAGCGUUAAUCGGAAUUACUGGGCGUAAAGCGUGCGCAGGCGGUUUUGUAAGACUGUCGUGAAAUCCCCGGGCUCAACCUGGGAAUGGCGAUGGUGACUGCAAGGCUAGAGUUUGGCAGAGGGGGGUAGAAUUCCACGUGUAGCAGUGAAAUGCGUAGAUAUGUGGAGGAACACCGAUGGCGAAGGCAGCCCCCUGGGUCAAAACUGACGCUCAUGCACGAAAGCGUGGGGAGCAAACAGGAUUAGAUACCCUGGUAGUCCACGCCCUAAACGAUGUCUACUAGUUGUCGGGUCUUAAUUGACUUGGUAACGCAGCUAACGCGUGAAGUAGACCGCCUGGGGAGUACGGUCGCAAGAUUAAAACUCAAAGGAAUUGACGGGGACCCGCACAAGCGGUGGAUGAUGAGGAUUAAUUCGAUGCAACGCGAAAAACCUUACCUACCCUUGACAUGGCAGGAAUCCUGAAGAGAUUUGGGAGUGCUCGAAAGAGAACCUGCACAC